UUAGGUCCCUGGUCAGGUGUUAGCGUGU
rnacentral:piRNA from 1 species